CCCUCAAUCCCCCCCACUCUCCCUGACCUCUCUCUGUUUGUCUUUCUUCCCCUCCUCGUCACCUCAGUGAUACAACUCCCCAAACGGAGACGGGUUUUACUCAAUGCUGGCUGUGACACAGAGCCCUUUGCAAAAUUCUUUUUUUAAAAAUUGCCCUUUCCCCGGUGUUCAUGGGGACAAGAACAGUUCGUGACCGUACGACGAUUGAUGUAUCUGAAUGAGCAGGAGCUAGAAAGUAGGCACCGGAAUUGAGUAACUCUCCCCGGGAUCGGGUCAUGUUGCUUUCGCCCAGCAAGACUAAGAUAAAAGGAAAACUGACACGGAACUACAAGGUGCGACUCGCCAUCUGCCUGGAACUCGAAGUGACAUAGGAGCCAGCCUCUGGGCCCGAGGGCCGAUCGGGGAAGGCCGAGGAAGACAAGAAGACCAAAAGGAAGCCAGCCCCCAGCUCAUUUUCCCUCAGAACAACUCCCUUUCUCCCUCCCUGUCCACUCAGUCGAUCUAUGACGUUUAUGGAGUGCUGACUCUUCACAGAACACUGUGCUUAAGCACACGGGAAAAUAGGCUCCUCAGGGUCACCGAAUGUAAAGACAGGGACACGGUGGGAUUGGAGCACCACACGGCCCUGGGGAAAGAGUUGGCCCAGCCUUUCCGAGACGGUUCGGAGAGAAGAGCGAGCAUCCGAGGAUGUGGCAACAAUCCACCUGGAUGAGGGACUCCAGCUGCGCUCAAGACGACAUUUUCCAGACCGCAAAGUGUGUUUUCCGGCCGUGUCAUUUAGCACCGACUAAAGGCCUCUCCUUCGCCGGCGGAUAACAUUGAGAAAUCCCUUUCCACUUUCCUUCCAGGGCAAGAGAUACUGCUAAACAAUUUAUGUAUUCUCUAAACAACACACAGCUUCUCUCUUCCAGUUGAUCUUCAUGCUGCUAUUAUGGGAUCAAGUUUUAUUAUUGCGGCUCCCCAGGAAAAAGAAACAGGGGCCUAGAGAGGUUAAGCGAAUUGUUCGUGUUCAUCUACCAGAUGCUAGGAAUCCCUUGGAAUUUAAGUGUUCAAAAAUGGAAAAUACGCGGGAUUGGAAAGCGGUCGACCUGGGUCUCAAGUCCUGGGCCCACCACUGGCCUGCUGUGUGACCUUGGGUGAAUCAUUUCACUUCUCUGGAACUCAGUCUCCUCACUUAUAAAAUAGAGAUAAUAUAGCGGUUUUCCCUUUUAGGUUCGGUGCUCUGUGUGGGGUAGGGACCAAGGCCAAACUGAGUUAUGUA